rnacentral:lncRNA from 1 species
CUCCAGACAUGCUUACCUAGAAAUAUUAUGUUCAUUUCGAAACACUGAAAGGGAAAUAAACGAUGCCAUUGCCAACGCCCUCUGAAUUAGGAAACUUAGACCUUUAACACCAGAUAACUCCUGAUGCCACAUGUGACCCAAGGAGCAGCUGAGACUUCCAGUUUCCAUCUGAAUAUAAAAUAUAAAGAACUUAAAACUGCUAAAUAUUCAAGUCCAUGAUGACUUCAUUAAAU